rnacentral:rRNA from 1 species
UACGAAGGGGGCUAGCGUUGCUCGGAAUCACUGGGCGUAAAGCGCACGUAGGCGGAUUGUUAAGUCAGGGGUGAAAUCCUGGAGCUCAACUCCAGAACUGCCUUUGAUACUGGCAAUCUCGAGUCCGGGAGAGGUGAGUGGAACUCCGAGUGUAGAGGUGAAAUUCGUAGAUAUUCGGAAGAACACCAGUGGCGAAGGGCGGCUCACUGGCCCGGUACUGACGCUGAGGUGCGAAAGCGUGGGGAGCAAACAGG